CCUUGGGCCAAUGGAAAUCAUUUCCAUUUGAAGACAGAAAAAGGGGUGAAAAGGCUCGGCGACCGGAAUUGAACUGCGAGAAUGAAACUCGGUGUGUGAAGGCAGCAGUUUCACUUUGUGACCAUAAGAUGGGGACAGGCUCUUGAGUUUGUAUUCCUUGAUUAUUCUUUGGUAAUGAUUUAUAUAUUUAUAUUAUCUUAUAACAUUUGUUAAUUUUGUAAAGCGCUCUUAUGCAAAUUUGUGAUUUGGGGCUGUACAAAAUAAAAUUAAUUGAAUUGAGUUACAAACUGCACAAAUAUGCCCACUUAGCUGUUUUUCUCUCUUCUUAUCUAUCUAUAAUUUUCAAGAAAUAAUUAGUUAUUUCUAACAGUUAAUAUGACAUUCAGCUAUUCACUGUACUGCUAUGAAUUUGUAUCUGCAGGCACAUGUGAAACGUGUGUGUGUGUCUGCGUUUGCGUGUAGGAGGGAGUCUCGGUUCAUUGACUCCAUAUGGUGAGAAACAGCAGGACUGAUGAGUGUACUACCUGAGGUCCGUGUUUGUGCCGUCGACUGUAACCAAAACAGCAACCCCCUGACCCGCUGCAUUAUUCAUAAAAGACGAGAAGUCUCAUUUCAUCGUUUAGGUUUGGUGACAGAUGACUCCGUAACAACAAAUCAUCCUGUUAUGAUACUUGGGCAAGAAGAAAGAAGGGGAGUAAGACAGAAACAGAAAAUGUAAAUGGGGAAAAAGAUGAGAAGAGAAAACAGAAUAACAAUAUGACAGAGUCCACUUCAAUAUUGAGAACAAGACGAAGCUCUCACUACUAUAUCAGACAUCACUGUAUAAUGAACUAGUUUCGUAUGAACAAUAAUUCAGAGUUACUGUAUAUAUUGUUGAAAAUGAGAGGAUAAUGCAAUAUUAAGCAAUAUGAGAUCAUAAUAUAUUAACAACAAACUCAACAAAGAAUGAAAUUUUACUGUGAAGCAGAAAGAUAAAAGAUAAUAAUGCAAAAAAGGUAUAAAUUAACAUGGUUCAAUCAGAUACAAAGAGUUACCUUUCAGAGGAUAAAAGAUGAGGUGGGAGGCUUUGAGGUGGAUGAGCAUAUCUGUGCAGUAAGGAUCACAGGACAAAGUAAUAUUAUUGGAGGGUUAGAGGGAGAGUUUCAAAGUGUUUUGCCAUUAAAUGCUGAUGUACAACUGCACCAAAUGACAGGUGACAUGUUUGGUAUGAAAUGGAAAAAUAUAUUGUGUGACUUUAACUGAAUUUACGACCCUUAGAAUAAGGUAUAGGUCUCUCCACAAACCUAUCACCUCUCCUUUUUUGAUCAUUUUUUUUUCAUUUUGGAGAAAUGAUGGAAAACUGAUAUAAGCUUUGACUGCUGAAGUUUGAAAUGUUGGGGAUAGUGAGGGAUGAAAAGCUUUGAACUCUGGGAUCAAUUCAGAGGAAGUUGAUAUUGUUGUUUGUGCCACCAACAAGUCUCUCCUUUGGGGGUUAGUGUGUUACACAUUUAACUGAGGCAAAUCCUUUUUUUAUUGUGAGCUUAUGGUUGGAAGGCACGGCCCUUUGUGUGGCUCAUGUUCAUCCAGACCUUGGCAGUGAUCAGAACUCGCUUAACCAACUGGGACCGAACGAGGGGCAUUUUGCUCCUUCUUUCAUCUCAUACAUCGGGGAAAUGCCUGGUCUCCAAGGAUGUGGCUAACAGAGCAAAAGACCAUGAACAACACAAUACACAAUAACAAUAUACAGGAGUGUUUAUAACACACGUAAACAAAAACACACCCACGGGGAAGGUAACGGAACGAAAAGAUAUCACAGGAAAUUUUGUCCAAAAAAAAGUUUUCCGAGGUAAUCCAUGUGUUCACGUCCAGUGGUCAAAGUAGAAGAGAGACAAAGUUGAACAUUUACAUUUCUCUUUCUAACCCACGUCUCCUGGGCGACUCUCACUUUGGAGACAACUGCCGGUGCUUUGUUUUAAUGUCACUCAGUAUUUGUGUUUUAUGAGACAGGACUGCAGUCGCCAAGGCGAUGCUCGGUCCUCCUGGGUGACAAACACAAUGACCAAUCCCUAAGUGCCACUUCUAUUGAUAUGUUUUAAUUGGUGUGUGAUAUAUGCUGCUGUAAGACUCACAUUUGCAUUGCUAAGCAUAAACAAGCUUCACGAUAAAUAAAUCACAAAGACCUUUGAAGAGAAACGCAAACAACUGAUAUCGCAUGGUGCGCUUUGCACUGCUCCUUUAUGGUUGACCAGCUCAAUGUGCCUCCUGCUGAAAGGUAAUAUGCAUGACACAUUUCCAGGCACUAAUUCAUUUGUUUAGUAAUAGGGGAGCUAACCUGUGCUAAAAACAUGGGUGCAGUGAGGAAAACAUAAAGGUCCUUUUAAUCCACGGCUAAUCAAAAGGGCACAGGAAACAACCCCGCAGUUGGAUUUUUCAUCACGUUAAUUAAAGCAAGGCUGGAAUAUUUGGGCGUCUGUUACAGCAAAGAAGGUCAAAAUGCCGAUUUGGCACAUUAAUCCACCAGACUGCUUUGACACUGUCAGCGUAAGAAUGCAACCCGUAGCUGCAGCCAAGGCCCCCUCUAAAGCACAGCUAAUACCUGGAAAGAAAUGUGUAUUUAUGUGUCUGGAAACAUGUUGAUUAAGGGUUCUUAAAGCAGCAUUGUCUAGCUGAUUCAUGAAAAGGGUUUUUUGAAGGAUAUACUGAAAUAACUGAUGAACUGUUGAUUACAAAACCCUUAAGAGGCUCGACUUGAAAAUAAUGUUGUUGACUCUGACCUGUUCAAGAGCAAGUACUCAAAAUGUGACAAAACAUUUGAAUUAUAUGCGGGAAAUGCACACAAACUGCAUGAAAAGAAACGUAUGCAAUUACAUUUUUCGUCAAACAAGUUUAAUCUAGAGUUGAGGUUUAGGCUAUUAUAAUGCACUGAUGGAAAAAGAAGAGGAAGAAUCCUAUAAAAUGUCAAGUGCUACUGCAUGACGGGAGAAAUUAUUAUCGGUCACAGCUCGGCACCGACAGCAUUAACAGCCUUAUCAGCUGGGGAAAUGUUCUGUUCCCCUGCCUAAACCAAAGCUAUUACAAUCCCAAAUAAUUCACUUUCCCGUUGGAUAGCUAGUUGUCGUGACAACUAAAAGGAGAGGAUCUGCAUGUAGAACAAUUGUGGUGAAAGGUAUCUCGGUUUCUCACUAAGCCUUUUCAUAUUCGACUGGGUAUUGAUGGUAAGGAUAUACUUUUACACUCUGUUAUCAGGAUUUGAUCUCCAAAAGUCCACAAUAUCUAUUUCAGAGCCGUAAUAUGUCCACUUUCUCUGUCAGGUUUUCUAUGCAAUUGCAGACAUGUAUUAUUUUAUGUAUUUGAAUGCACUUAUCACGGUCUUCAAACUAAACUACAAACUCUAGAAAGCCUCCCACAAUGUCUAUCAUGUACAAAAAGUAGUUUAUAAUCAUCCAUUGUGAAACAGGGGAGUGACAGACCGAGACAAUAUCUGAUUCUAUUCAUGCAUCCCUCCACUGGUGCGUCCUGACUGGAUAAGUGGCAAACAGGUGGGAGACCACGAGUUCAAGCCCUUGAGAAAAUGAAUAAAACAUGAAACAUCAACAUGGUCUUUGACUGAAAUGAAACAUUCCACUUAUAAGUCAGAAUAUCAGCUCUUCAUUGAGAUAUUUGCAUUAGUCUUAUUGCUUUUUCCCGCCAUUUUUACUUUGCCAUGUUUUCUUUAUGUUGGUCGGUCGUGUCUUGAAUAAACACAGUAUGGAAAUAUCUAUCAAAC
ensembl:lncRNA